UACGAAGGGGGCUAGCGUUGUUCGGAUUUACUGGGCGUAAAGCGCACGUAGGCGGGUCGUUAAGUCAGGGGUGAAAUCCCGGAGCUCAACUCCGGAACUGCCUUUGAUACUGGCGACCUAGAGUCCGGAAGAGGUGAGUGGAACUCCUAGUGUAGAGGUGGAAUUCGUAGAUAUUAGGAAGAACACCAGUGGCGAAGGCGGCUCACUGGUCCGGUACUGACGCUGAAGUGCGAAAGCGUGGGGAGCAAACAGG
rnacentral:rRNA from 1 species